rnacentral:lncRNA from 1 species
GUCCUGGUGGAUAAGAAGUGAUACAAACUUCUUGGAAAAGACACCUUUGCCUUACGGAAAAGAGUUAAAAUAUAAGGAAGCUUAGAGAAAGUGAGAGAUAAAGGCUGUUGGAUUUUGAAGAUAUAUUUGAGAUAUUGGAUUUGCUUCUGGACUACACAUCAGUCUUAAUGAAGUUCCUUUCUUGCACAGUGCCAUAGAAAUAAGUCAAGGUUGUGACUUGUCGGUUAUUCAUACCUAUCCAGGUUUUCUACCUAGCACAAGACUUGACUCUUUCUUUCUGUGACAACAACUGAUUUCCAAACUUAUGGUCAAUUAAUGAAAUUGUAUCCACCAACGAGAUGGAAAAGUGAAACUAUACUCGCCAGUGGAUUUAUCAUACUAAGAUGGAAUUUAGAAAAAGAAAAUGUUUUCAAGAGUCUUUAUGGUAAAGUUCUUUUACAAAUAGAAUUUAAGAAACUUUAAAUUUAUCUUAGUGUUAAAAAUGAGAGUAGUGCCGGGCAUGGUGGCACACGCCUUUAAUCCCAGCACUUGGGAGGCAGAGGCAGGCAGAUUUCUGAGUCGGAGGCCAGUCUGGUCUAGAGAGUGAGUUCCAGGACAGCCAGGGCUACACAGAGAAAUCUUGUCUUGAAAAACAACAACAACAAAAAAACAAACAAAAAACAAAACAAAAAAAUUGAGAGUAGUGUUACUUUUAGAGUGAAGGAUGGGAAGAGUGUAUGAAGGGUCUACGAUGCUGAUAGGGUUCAGUUUCUUAGUACAAAUUCUGGUGGCACAUAUUGUUCAGUUUAUGAAAUUCCAUUAAAAUAAAUAUAUGUCAUGUCUAUACCUUCCUGUAUAUUGUGGUAAAUCUCUCCAAAGUAUGCCCAACAAUGAAAACUGGUACAGUUAAUAUGAUUACAUGCUGUGUGCCUAGAUUGGGCAGAUCUACCACUACACUACCAUCGUCCACAUCUAUGAGACCCCUUAGAACUUGCGGUUUCUCCAGGCCAUGUGCUUCUGCUCUGAUUUUCUUCAUAUUCCUCCUCCUCUGCAUCCUCUCCCUCUUCCAUUUUCUCCUUCUUCUCUCUCCCACCUUCUGCUCCACCUUCCCUUUUAUCUGCCCAUCAUCAGCUCUCCUUUAUUUUACAAAUUAAGGUGGGAAGCAGGUUUACAGGAAAUCACCUGAGUGCUGACUCAUUCCUUGUUCAAAACCACUCACAGGAGAACAGAAUUAACAUUAAAUAUAAUUAGCCCCAGGGCUAUCUACAACACCUAUAUGUAUGUUUUUCCUCAGUAAAAUGUUACCAACACUUGGUGGGCGUAGGAGUGUAAAGCCAUCCUGGGCUACAUAAUCCUGUACCUACACAAAACAAAAUGAGGAAAAAACUACCACAAAAACAUUGCAAACAAUUGCAUACAAACAAUUAAAUUCUACUAAGUUCAGAAAAAAUUGAGGGUAUUAGGACAUUAGGAAUAUCUUAAUGUGGCAAGAAAAGCUACUACGUCAUAAAAAAUGGGCAUCUUUGAGAACACUAAUUUGAGAAGGUCAGGACAUGAGACACAGUACAAAGGCUGUCUAUCAGUAUGUGCUCAGACUGUUGACCACUUGCUCAGAUAAGAAACUUGACAUGGACUCAACAAAUUACCAGAGGCUUGAGAGUUUGUAAGAGCUUGCCUGGAAUACUAAUCAUUUUUUUAUGUUAUAUUUUGUGGUCUUUCAAUUCUGGAAAUACUUUCCUUCAACUCUGACUCGGAUAUGGAUGAGUCAGAAAACUAGGAGAUGCUGACACAUAGAUGUCACCAAGAAACAAUUUUAUUUAUUUAUUAAUUUUAAUUUAUUUUUUAUUUACAUUUCAAAUGUUAUCCCCUUUCCUCGAUUUUCCUCCCAAACCCCCCAAUCCCAUUUCCUCUCCCCCUGUUGACUAACCCACCCACUCCUGCUUCCCUGUCCUGACAUUCCCCUACACUGGGACAUCGAGCUUUCACAGGACCAAGGGCCUCUCUUCUCACUGAUGUCCAACCAGGCCAUCCUCUGCUAUAUAUGCAGCUGGAUCCAUGGGUUCCUCCAUGUGUACAAUUGGUUGGUGGUUUAAAAAUUGAUCUUUUACUACCAACUCUAUGAUGAUGUCAUCUGUAUGCUAGUUACUCUUCAACUAAGAACAGUUCUUGACCUUCCGGUAUGACUGACUGAAUGAAUGAGUGGAUGAAUUGAGAAAGGAGACUGAAUGAAUGAAUUGAGGAAAGAGAAGACAGACUUGGGAAGGUUGUCAGAGUCCAUCAGCUCAACACAUUCCUUUUUAGUUUUGUUUUUUAUGAGCUAUUAAACAUAUAGAAGAAAAUCAUAUACACACAAAAAAAAUCACAUCUAUUUGCUUAUAUACAAUAUUAUGUGUGCGUAUGUAUAUACACAUUCCUCCCACAGACAACUCACUUGGCCUGCAACUUUAGGGACCUCAAUGUCCCUAAUUAUAGCUUAUGUUACAAGCUACACAGAAGCGCUGCUGAUCCCAGCUCUGGCAUGGCUCCUGUUUAAACAGACUUCCCAGAAAUCUCAGGCAGCGUGCCAUGGUAAGGAAACAAUUUACGUCAGAUUUUGAGCAGGGGAAUCCGUCAGGGUUGGUAAGGAAGGCGGAGGCGAGUUGUUAAAGGUAGUAAGAGGGAGGCUUUUCAUGGGCCCUACAGCUGAUCAUUAUUUCCAGAAGAAGGACAAAGUGGCUAUUCUUCUGCUUUGGCUUGCUGUUGCCUUGAAUGCUUGGUUUUGAAAUCCAAUGGCUGCCUGAAGAUUCCUUUGGGGACCAAAUGAGUCUGGAGAGGAUGCUGAGGAACAUUUUGCUAGCUCUCUUGAUGGCUGCCCAUAGUUAAAAGAUUUCUUUGUAUUAAUUAUGGAUAGUCUUUUAUGUUCUCUUUAGUUCAAAGACGAGGAUUGAAAUGACCUCAGAAAAGAUUUAGUCAGAGUUCUUUCUAUUCAAGGAGUUGUUUAUAUAUCAAAACACCUUUCUCCAGUCAAUAAAUAUUAUUUUUUUUAAUGUGGCAUUGCCCCAGAUGUUCAAGUACCCUUCAUUUUACAACUAGGAGGAAUCUUGUUGAGUUCUGUUGUUGUUGCUUUUGAAAGAACAAUGAAUUUUCUCAUUUUUACUUGAUUUUUUUUACAACAUAUUCUGAUCACUUUUCACUUCCACCUCUCCUCCAAGAUCUUCCACACUUGCCCAACUCCACACCCACUCUUUCUCUCUUUC